rnacentral:rRNA from 1 species
CUAGAGAUAGCUUAGUGCCUUUCGGGAGCUCUGAGACAGGUGCUGCAUGGCUGUCGUCAGCUCGUGUUGUGAAAUGUUGGGUUAAGUCCCGCAACGAGCGCAACCCUUAUCCUUAUUUGCCAGCACGUAAUGGUGGGAACUUUAGGGAGACUGCCGGUGAUAAACCGGAGGAAGGUGGGGACGACGUCAAGUCAUCAUGGCCCUUACGAGUAGGGCUACACACGUGCUACAAUGGUCGGUACAGAGGGUUGCGAAGCCGCGAGGUGGAGCUAAUCUCACAAAGCCGGUCGUAGUCCGGAUCGGAGUCUGCAACUCGACUCCGUGAAGUCGGAAUCGCUAGUAAUCGUAGAUCAGAAUGCUACGGUGAAUACGUUCCCGGGUCUGUAGCACACCGA